GAAGACAAGUUCAAGUUGGGGUUUUGGAAAUUAUCAUGUUAAUGGUUUCUUUAUAAGUACCAUUUUUAUUUACUUACACAUGUCACCAAGCCCACAAUUCACAAAACACAGUUCUGCUCUCAUGGAGAAAAAUCUAUUUCUCAGUAUUUUCUUAGCUUCUGUUGUUCAAUUUUCGACACUUUCCUUGGUUCAUCCACAAGUAACCGACGUGUCCACAGACAAAGAAGCUCUUCUUACCCUGAAAGCACGUAUAGGCCAUGAUCCAAGCAAUUUGUUGGCCAGCAAUUGGUCCACAAGUUCAUCUGUUUGUCAUUGGAUGGGCAUAACUUGUGGUGCUCGUCACCUUCGAGUAACAGCAUUGAAGAUUUCUCACUUGGGUCUCACAGCCACCCUUCCUCCUCAACUGGGAAAUCUAUCUUUCCUUACAAGGCUUGACAUUUGGAACAACAGCUUUUAUGGUUCUCUCCCUGAGGAAUAUGCUCAAUUACGUCGACUGAAAUACCUUGAUUUGAGUCAUAAUAGAUUGUCGGGUGAACUCCCUGCAAGCAUUUUUAAUAAUCUUCCCGAUUUGCGAUUGCUUUAUUUGCAUUCUAACAUGUUCGCGGGAAAAAUACCAUCGACCUUAUCAAAAUGCAGAAGCUUGCAAAACUUAUCCUUGUCAUUAAAUAAUUUCACAGGAGCCAUUCCGAAAGAAAUUGGAAACUUGACUCAACUUAGAGAGAUCUAUCUUGGAGUCAACAAACUCCAAGGAGAAAUUCCAAAAGAGUUUGGAAAUUUUGCAAAACUGGAGCUAUUAUCACUGCAAAAUAGUUACUUAACAGGAACUAUUCCGUCACUUAUCUUCAACCUUUCUUCCUUAAUUUCCAUGGACUUUUGGAAAAAUAGCCUAACUGGUAGCCUUUUGGAAAACAUGUGCCAACAUCUUCCCAAUCUUGAAGAACUAUAUAUGGAUUAUAAUCAUCUCACUGGUCCAAUUCCAUGCAGUUUGGGGAAAUGUAGAAAACUUCAUAUUAUUGGUUUGUCGAACAACCAAUUCGAUGGACAUAUUCCGAGAGAAAUUGGGAACUUGACAUUAAUCAAGCAUCUAUAUCUGGACUCCAACAAAUUGACAGGAGCUAUUCCGAAAGAAAUUGGAAACUUGGCUCAACUUAGAGAGAUCUAUCUUGGAUUCAACAAACUACAAGGAGAAAUUCCAAAAGAGCUUGGCAAUCUUGCGAAGCUGGACGUAUUAUCAUUGCCAGAUGGUCACUUAACAGGAACCAUUCCAAGAGAAAUUGGAAACUUGACAUUAAUCAAGUAUCUAUAUCUAUACUCGAACAAAUUGACAGCCACCCUUCCUCCUCAACUGGGAAAUCUAUCUUUCCUUAUAAGGCUUGACAUUUGGAACAACAGCUUUUAUGGCUCUCUCCCUAAGGAAUAUGGUCAAUUACGUCGACUGAAAUACCUUGAUUUGAGUUAUAAUAGAUUAUCAGGUGAACUCCCUGCAAGCAUUUUUGAUAAUCUUCCCGAUUUGCAAUUGCUUUAUUUGCAUUCUAACAUGUUCGUGGGAAAAAUACCAUCGACCUUAUCAAAAUGCAGUAGCUUGCAAAACUUAUCCUUGUCAUUCAAUAAUUUCACAAGAGCCAUUCCGAAAGAAAUUGGAAACUUGACUCAACUUAGAGAGAUCUAUCUUGGAUUCAACAAACUUCAAGGAGAAAUUCCAAAAGAGCUUGGUAAUCUUGCAAAACUGGAGCUAUUAUCACUGCCAAAUAGUUAUUUAACAGGAACUAUUCCCUCACUUAUCUCCAACCUUUCUUCCUUAAUUUCCAUGUACUUUUGGAAAAACAGCCUGACUGGUAGCCUUCCGGAAAACAUAUGCCAAAAUCUUCCCAAUCUUGAAGAACUAUAUAUGGAGGAUAAUGAUCUCACUGGUCCAAUUCCAAACAGUAUGGGGCAAUGCAGAAUGCUUCGCAUUCUUGUGUUGUCGAACAACCAAUUCGAAGGGCAUAUUCCUAGAGAAAUUGGGAACUUGACAUUAAUCAAGGAUCUAUAUUUAGACUCAAACAAAAUGACAGGUGAGAUACCAAAUGAAAUUGGCAAUCUUCAUAAUCUCAGAGGGUUGGUAUUUUCAUAUAACCAACUAGUUGGCCCUGUCCCGGCUACAACAUUCAACAUUUCAAAAAUGCAAAUACUUUCAUUGUUCGGCAAUCAUCUCUCUGGAGUUAUUCCAUCAAUUGCAGAGCUUCCAAACCUUGAGGGUCUUUGGCUGUGGGAAAAUAAUUUCAAUGGGUCGUUUCCUGAUUUCAUCACCAAUGCUUCAAAGCUCUCCUUUCUAGAAAUCCAAUAUAACUCAUUCUCAGGCUUCAUUCCUGGUAAAAUUGGCAAUUUAAAAAAUCUUGAGAGACUAGAUUUAUCAUAUAAUCAGUUCACUUCUACUCCUGAUCUGAGCUUUCUUUCCAAUUUGACAAAUUGCAAGAGUUUAAGAGUUCUAAGCUUAGGCAAAAAUCCACUAAAUAGUAUCCUUCCAAGUUCCAUAGGGAAUCUUUCUAUUUCUUUGGAACAUUUAAAGAUAAAUGAUUGCAACAUUAGUGGCAAAAUUCCCAAAGAAAUUGGAAACUUGAAAAACUUGAUAGAUCUACAAUUACAAGAUAAUGAAUUGACUGGACCAGUUCCAGUUACAAUGGAUGGAUUGCAGGAUCUCCAAGGUUUGUAUCUUCAAAAUAACAAAUUUGAAGGACUUAUCCCAGAAUUUUUUUGUCAUUUAAAUGAAUUGGGUGAGUUGAAUUUGGGGGAAAACAAGUUCUGUGGAGUCAUACCUAUAUGUAUUGGCAAUCUCAUUGCAUUGAGAAAAUUACUUUUAGGUUCAAACCGGUUAACUUCUAUACCAUCAACUUUGUGGAACCUGGAGGAUCUUUUGUACUUUGAUUUGUCAUCAAAUUAUCUUAAUGGAUCUCUUCCAUUAGACAUUGAAAAACUUAAGGUUGUCAUAGCUAUAAAUUUGUCAUGGAAUCUUUUAUCGGGAGAGAUUCCAAUUGCUAUUGGAAGCCUGGAAAAUCUACAAUCUCUCUCUUUAGAGUACAACAAAUUACAACACUCCAUUCCUGAAACAUUUGGCAACUUGAAAAGCUUGGAAUUCUUGGAUUUGUCUAGAAACAACCUUUCUGGAGUGAUUCCCAAGUCUUUAGAAGCACUCAUAUACCUCAAAUAUCUAAAUUUAUCUUUCAACCAACUAAGUGGCGAAAUUCCUAGAGGAGGGUCCUUCAAAAAUUUCUCAACUGAAUCGUUUAAGGGGAAUCUUGCAUUGUGUGGACCUCCUCAACUACAAGUUCCACCAUGCAAAAAAAGCACUCAUCGAAAAUCAAGGACUGAAAAGGUUUUCCUAUUGAUUCUUUUGCCAACAUGCAUUGCGAUCUCAUUAGUUGUCCUGGUUCUUAUGUCUUUGUUGAUCUGGAAAAGGAGAACAAGGCCAACUACCAAUGUUGAUUUUUGUCCUGGAGGAACAUGGAGAAAAAUUUCUUACCAAGAACUUGUGAGAGCAACAGAUGGAUUCAGUGAGAACAACCUGCUUGGUAAAGGAAGCUAUGGUUCAGUUUACAAAGGAAGAUUAGAUGAGGGAAUAGAGGUUGCAGCAAAAGUAUUCUCCUUGGAUUUUGAAGGAGCUCUUACAAGUUUUGAAACUGAAUGUGAAGUAAUAAGACGUCUUCGUCAUCGAAAUCUUGUCAAAAUCAUCAGCAGCUGUUCAAAUGAUGAUUUUAAAUCUUUGAUACUUGAAUACAUGCCUAAUGGAAGCUUGGAGAAAUUGUUGUUUUAUGAGAAGAAUGUUUUGGACAUUUCUCAUAGACUGAAUAUAAUGAUCGAUGUUGCUUCAGCUUUGGAAUAUCUCCACUUUGGCUAUUCAGUCCCAAUCAUUCAUUGUGACUUAAAGCCAAGCAAUGUCCUACUAGACCAAAAUAUGGUUGCACAUUUGAGUGAUUUUGGCAUUGCAAAGCUCUUAGGUGAAGAAAACUCCAUGACACAAACAAAGACCCUUGCCAGCAUUGGUUAUAUGGCACCAGAAUAUGGGAGAGAAGGAAAGGUAUCUAGACAAGGAGAUGUGUACAGCUAUGGUGUCAUGCUAAUGGAAACAUUUACCAAGAAGAAGCCAACAAAUGAAAUGUUUACAGCAGAAAUGAGCUUAAGGAGGUGGGUUAGUGAAUCAUUAUGCAGCACAGUGAUGCAAGUCGUGGACACAAAUUUGCUUACAAGGGAUGAUGAACAUUUCUCAAGCAAGGAAGAAUGUGUGUUGUCUAUCUUAGGCUUGGCUAUGGAGUGUACAAAAGAAUCACCUCUGGAUAGGAUCACCAUGAAAGAAGUAGUGACAAGACUCAUCAAAAUCAAGGCCCAACUUCCAGAAAUCGAAACAAGAAAAGGCAAAUAGGUUUUGAAUUUAGGCUAACUUCCUUCUAUUUUCAGUGAGAAUAAAGUUGUAAUCUAGAGAGAAAUGGAAGAACUGGCUAGCCAACGUCCUGUCAAUGAGACAGCCUGAGUUUGGCGACCAUCUGCCUCUGUCAUGAGUUUGAUGACUAGUAUAUGCAUGUUAUUAGGUCAACUUUGAUUAAAAACAAGUUCUUGUAAUGAAUUUUUAAAUUUGACGGAUCUUAAUGUCGCGAUGAUAGAGUAUAGGGGGUUUGAAAUUUUGCUAUUUUCACUAGAGAUGGAUUAUAGUAUCUAUUAUUAUUAUUAUUUUGACACACGCACACACACACCCACAUCCACACACAUACACAUACACACACAUAUAUAUAAAAACACAUAUACAUUUAACAAAAACCAGCCAGGGGCAAACAACCUAAGUUCAUCCUCAAGAUGGACAAUAGCGAAAUCACUAGGUAACAAAGAGCCCAUAAAACCAAUAUAGAGAACCAACAUAAAGAUCAACACAAUCACGAUCAGACAACACUUCCAACCCAUACUACAGGGAGCCCACUGGAUCCACACAAUUCACUUACACAACAAUCCUCUAUACCUAGGAAGCCACUGAAACACCAACGCCUUCACACAUCAGGCAGCCAAGAGAUCCACCAGUACUGCCCACCAGAAACCAAUAAGAGCAGCUUGCAAAAAUUGCGGAAGCACAAGUGGAAGGAUAGAUGCAGCAGCCGAAACAAACAGAACCAGGGAGGCACCUCCCACCAAAAGAUAGAAGCAGCAUUCAGGAAUCACCAACAGGAGUGGCAACAAUACUAUCAAAAAUAUAUAUUGGGCUUACAAGUGUGAAGAUUGAAACUCAUAUUACACAAAAUCAAUUGGCUAGUGUUAAAAUCCAAUCUACAUACUUAUAUAUCAUUCUCUUAUGUUCUAUUCAUUAGAUGUGAGACUCUUUUUCUUUUCAUUUUAUUUAAGUUUCCAACACCCCUGUUUCGAAGACCGGAAACAGAUUGUAUUUUCCAGGGAUGGGAGCUCCAGCAAGAACAGAGCAGCAAACAUCAGGAUGGCACAACAACGGGUAUGGAGGACACCAACUCAGACAACGAAGCUGAACUAGGCACAGGACAGUAAACCACCGGGUGGAACCACAACCAAGAACCAUCCAUGCAAAACACUACUGGAACGCUCCAGGACAGACAAGAAAAACUCUGGGAGAGAAAAGAUAGGAAGGUGCCAGCAGAACUGGCAGCUAAGAACACAAAUUCGACAGUAGUAAGGCAGAUAAAGGCCAACAUAUCCAAUGAACACCAAUGCAAGAGAAAACCAGCAGGGGAGAGGGAUGCAGGGAUCAGCGACUCCAGAGAAGGAGAAAGGCAAAAGAACAUGAGAGGAUGCCAGCACUAAAGCAGCUGCAAAGAGCCAACCCGUGCCAACACAGACCAGUAGCAUAAAGGCGCCUCCACAGGACCCAAGAACACAUUGGAAGAAGCUAGGCUGAUGCAGAGGAGAACCACAGACAGCCAGAGACCACCAGGGAGUUACAGAGAAAAGGCUGAAAACACACCAUGAAAUGGAAACAGGCCGGAAACAGAGAAUGCAGGGAUGAAGAAGCCAUAAAAAAUCCAGCAGCAGAAGAGAUGAGGCUGUGGAGAGGGACAUUCAUUCAAAAAGACCACAGCAACCUGCACCAAACCACCGAAGUUGGAACCAGCAAAAGGAAAGGAGAAGCACCUGCAAAAAAAAUACCCAGUUAGCAAAAAGGUUGCCACCUCCAAAGAGCUGAACCCUCAACACUUGUGGAUGCAGUUCGACAGGCCCCAAUUCCAAGCAAUGGCUUUCGGCGGUGGGAAGUUUGAGAGGUCAGCCCCUCUAUCUCUAACUAGCCUCCUGAUCCUUCCCACAAAUCUCAUCAAAGAGUAGGGCCUCGUCCACUAACUAUGCAACAUGACAUGUGUUCAUGCCCUUUAUUGAUGAAGUAGUUGUCAAUUCAACCAAUAAAAGUUUUUGGUAAGGAAAUUUUAAAAUUAUAAUAAAUUUUGAAAAAUAGUUUUAAA